UUGGCCUAUAUAACACCUCCUAAUCGAAUUUGCACAACACAUGACAGUGAGCAAGUAGAACUAAUUGGAUUUGUUUUGCCUAGAGAUAUUGCGAUUUUGGAAAGAGGUAGUUGAAUGAAUCGUACGUUUGGGUGAGUUAUUUCCUCCUUGCCAUGCUUUUUCUCAAGUGAACAGUCUUUGCGCAGAUUAUUUCCUUGUCUUCAUUGUCUGUUCGACCUGGAUUUUCAUUUCAUGUAUUAGUUAAGGACAAUACUGUAGAUCUGUGAAAGAUGAAGAAAUAUCGAGAUGAAGAUGAGAGAACAAUUUUCCAAUUAUUUAUCUAAUAUUGGUACAUCUUCAUAAAAACUAAUAGAUAAGCAUAAUGAUUUGCACCAAAGAUACAUGCAUGGUUUUGUUGGCGAGAGAGAGUAGCUAUUA